AGAGUUUGAUUCUGGCUCAGAACGAACGCUGGCAGCGUGGAUUAGGCAUGCAAGUCGAACGUGAAGCUGUUGAUCAAUUCUUCGGAAGAGUGAUUCAGUGGAAAGUGGCGAAAGGGUGAGUAACGCGUGGGCAACCUGCCCCAAAGCUGGGGAUAACCUUCCGAAAGGAAGGCUAAUACCGAAUACGGUCUUUCAACGCCUGUUGAGAUGACUAAAGAUGGGGAUCCUUCGGGACCUGUCACUUUGGGAGGGGCCCGCGUGCCAUCAGCUUGUUGGUAGGGUAACGGCCUACCAAGGCUUACGGCUAGCUGGUCUGAGAGGAUGAUCAGCCACACUGGGACUGAGACACUGCCCAGACUCCUACGGGAGGCUGCAGUCGAGGAUCAUUCGCAAUGCGCGAAAGCGUGACGAUGCGACGCUGCGUGGAGGAUGAAGGCCUUCGGGUCGUAAACUCCUGUCAUUCGGGAAAAACGAUUUUAUCUUUAAUACGGGUAGGAAGUGAUGGUACCGAAAGAGGAAGCCACGGCUAACUCUGUGCCAGCAGCCGCGGUAAUACAGAGGUGGCAAGCGUUGUUCGGAUUUACUGGGCGUAAAGCGUGCGUAGGUGGCCGCGUAUGUCGGAUGUGAAAGCCCACGGCUCAACCGUGGAACUGCAUUCGAAACUGCGUGGCUAGAGUACAGGAGGGGAGGGCGGAAUUCUUGGUGUAGCGGUGAAAUGCGUUGAUAUCAAGAAGAACACCGGUGGCGAAGGCGGCUCUCUAGAAUGUUACUGACACUGAGGCACGAAAGCUGGGGGAGCAAACAGGAUUAGAUACCCUGGUAGUCCCAGCCGUAAACGGUGUGAACUUGGUGUUGGGGGUAUUGACCCCCCCAGUGCCGGAGCUAACGCGUUAAGUUCACCGCCUGGGGAGUACGGCCGCAAGGCUAAAACUCAAAGAAAUUGACGGGGGCCCGCACAAGCGGAGGAGCAUGUGGCUUAAUUCGAUGCAACGCGAAGAACCUUACCAGGGCUUGACAUGGCGACCCUUCGGGGGUGGGAGUGAAAGCUCCCUUUUACGAUCACAGGUGCUGCAUGGCUGUCGUCAGUUCGUGCCGUGAGGUGUUUGGUUAAGUCCAGCAACGAACGCAACCCCUGUGUCUAGUUGCUACCGGGUAAUGCCGGGCACUCUAGACAGACUGCCUGUAUAAGCAGGAGGAAGGUGGGGAUGACGUCAAGUCAGUAUGGCCCUUACGCCCUGGGCUGCACACGUGCUACAAUGGCCGGUACAGAAGGAGGCAAUACCGCGAGGUGGAGCAAAUCCCCAAAACCGGCCCCAGUUCGGAUUGGAGUCUGCAACUCGACUCCAUGAAGUUGGAUUCGCUAGUAACGGCGUAUCAGCUACGACGCCGUGAAUACGUUCCCGGGCCUUGUACACACCGCCCGUCACAUCAUGAAAGCCGUCUGCACCCGAAGUCGCUGAGCUAACCCGCAAGGGAGGCAGGUGCCGAAGGUGUGGGUGGUGAUUGGGAUGAUGUCGUAACAAGGUA
rnacentral:rRNA from 1 species